rnacentral:rRNA from 1 species
AAGAAUCUGGAGACAGGUACUGCAUGGCUGUCGUCAGCUCGUGUCGUGAGAUGUUGGGUUAAGUCCCGCAACGAGCGCAACCCUUGCCUUUAGUUGCCAGCAGUUCGGCUGGGCACUCUAAAGGGACUGCCGGUGUUAAACCGGAGGAAGGUGGGGAUGACGUCAAGUCCUCAUGGCCUUUAUGACCAGGGCUACACACGUACUACAAUGGCCGAUACAAAGGGCAGCGACACUGCGAGGUGAAGCCAAUCCCGUAAAAUCGGUCUCAGUCCGGAUUGGAGUCUGCAACUCGACUCCAUGAAGUUGGAAUCGCUAGUAAUCGUGGAUCAGCAUGCCACGGUGAAUACGUUCCCGGGCCUU